rnacentral:rRNA from 1 species
AUGAAGUCUAAGACGAAUAGGGGCAUACAGAAGGCAGGAAGAGUAGAUCAUCUCCAAGGAGGACCAAACUGGAUUCUUGUUGCCGGAGGAGUUUUACUAAGCACUUUCUCCGUCAAACUUGGAUGCAAAUUAAAGCAAAUGUUUGAUACGAAGCAGCAGAAUGGCUUUUCCAAAGCCGAAAGUAGGCCUGGAGGAUGUGAAUUGCACUCAAACCUAUGCAGGUUUCGUGGCCAAACUAGCUGCUACUAUUGUAUUUCAGGGCAUUCAGAUGGUGGAGUGGAAGUCAAGCAUCCUCCUGCAAGUCCAUCAAAAUCAGCUGAACCCUCGCUUCCACUUGUGAAAAUACCAGUGCAAGAAUCAAGCAAGGACAACAGUGGCGUCAUGUGGAUAUCAUCACCUGACCGCCUUGAAGAUCCUCGUAAACCAUUUCAGUACUCAAACAGUUCUGGCUCCCCACGUGUUUCAGAGUCAGGAUCUGACAUUUAUAGCAAGAGAGAGGUCAUACAGAAGCUGAGGCAGCACCUGAAAAGACGUGAUGAGAUGAUCAUGGAGAUUCAAGCUCAGAUUGCUGACCUUAAGAACUCUCUUGCCAUCCAGGAGAAGCAGUCGUCUAAUUUGCAGUCUCAGCUGGAGUCUGCUAACCGAGAUAUAUUUGAUUCUGAGCGAGAGAUCCAGCAUCUGAGGAAGAUCAUCACAGACCAUUGUGUUGGCGAAGCACUCUCUCACGAUAAGCCGUUGCAUGUUGGACACUGGCAGUCAGAUGCCACCAAUGGGCAUGCUAAUGGCUACGCCAAUAGCAGCGUCGGUGACCCUGAGCUGCAUUUUAUUGGUAUUGGGAAGAAGAAAGAAGAGUUGGAGAGGAUGGAGAUGCUCAAGAGGGAGGUGGGUGAGCUGAAGGAAGUUAUCGGAGGGAAAGACUUCUUGCUUCACAGCUACAAGGAGCAGAAGGUCGAGCUCUGUUCUCAGAUCAGGGAAUUGCAGGAAAAACUCUCCUCGCAUGUGCCGAACAUAUUGUAG